GAAGGGGGACUUGGGCUGGGUGGGAAGGGCAGGAGCACAGCACAUUGCACUCUAAGCAUCAUCUUGUGCCUUUGAACCCUGCAGGUGCCCAAUGGGCUGGAGGCUGUGAGCAUCGAGAGCAGGGGCUGCCUGAGCAGCGGACGGUGAAGAGACAGAUGGGACAUCGUUGGAACGCAGGCCCAAGGAGAGGCCCCGUGCAGGUAAGGACACACUGGGGACACAGUGUAGGGUAUUUGCAGGUUGUCCUCUUGGCAGGGAUACAGGCAGUAGUUAAGGGGUGCAGGCAGUGGCAGGAUGGGAAGUGUAGGUGUCAGGCUGGGUAGCUGCAGGUGCAAUUUGCCUAUUGCAGGUUUCAGGUUGGGAAGCAUAGGGGUUAGAUGGUAUAACAAAGGUGUUAGUUUGGGUAGUGCUGGUGUCACUUUGGGUAUUACAGGUGUUAGGUUGGGUCCUGUAGGUGGCACUUUGGGAACCAGAGGUGUCAGGCUGGGUAGAGUAGGUGGCACUUGAAGAGGUGUUAGGUUGGAUAUCAUUGGUGUUAGCUUGGCUACUGUGGGUGGCACUUUGGGAACCAGAGGGGUUAGGUUGGGUAUUGUAGGUGGCACUUGGGGUACUGUAGCUGUUAGGCUGGGUACAGUAAGCAGCACUUUGGGUAGUGUAGGUAUCAGGCUUAGUGUUAUAGUGGCACUUUGGGAACCAUUGGUGUUAAUUUGGCUAGCAAAGGUGGCACUUUUGACUCAGGUUUAGCACAGCUUUAUUAGACUGGUUCCAUCUGAGGUGCUUGGAAGUUGGACAACUCUUGCUCAGCGCUAAAGGCUGACAUGGGAGAUGGCAUCAUCCAGGUGUGUGGACUGUCAGGUGCAUGGCCAUGUUUUGUGCUCAUGGUUGAGGGGGUUCUGAGGAGGAGGAGGACAAAGAAGAUGCAGGAGGCAGCCAUUGAAGUCUGUGUGUGGAAAGGAGGUUUAUUCCAUCUCACAGGAUGAAGGCUGUUAUUUGGGAAGGAUUUGCACAGCUGUGUACAUGUGGGUGCCAGCUGGGAACAGCCAGGGAAGCAAAGGNNNNNNNNNNNNNNNNNNNNNNNNNNNNNNNNNNNNNNNNNNNNNNNNNNCUUCACUGCCCCAGUACAUUUAUUUUCAGGUGCCUAGAGGUG
rnacentral:lncRNA from 14 species